rnacentral:tmRNA from 1 species
GGGGCUACCUCGGCAACGGCGAGCCGAUCGAGUCCUGGGGCGCGCAAUACAUUGCCCGAACGCCGGCCGAACUCUUGAACCUUUUGGGCCUGGCCUAAACUAAGAGCUUCCUGGGGCCGACUUGGCUUCGACGUGGGUGCGGAGUUGGAACAGGGCAUGCCGAGGACCAGUACCCUCGUAAAUCCAUCUGGAACAAAGUAACUGCGAACGACUCUUCGUACGCUCUCGCCGCUUAAAACCGGUGAGCUUCGCAACGGUUGGCCGAUGGGCCGGGUCUGAGGGGCAACCCAAGGACUGCGAAGUCAUACACAUUGGCUCGCUCUGGGUUGGGUCACUCAGCACAGGGCUAAAUCAAGUGACUCGGGGUGAACGCAGCGUGCUGCUGCGCGGCGUGCGCCCUCAAAACCAAAUCAGCCAGCUAAGCAUGUAGAUCUGCCCGACGAUGGCUUGCGGACGGGGGUUCGAUUCCCCCCGGCUCCACCA